UACAGAGGUGGCAAGCGUUGUUCGGAAUUACUGGGCGUAAAGCGUGCGCAGGCGGUUAUGUAAGACAGUUGUGAAAUCCCCGGGCUCAACCUGGGAACUGCAUCUGUGACUGCAUAGCUAGAGUACGGUAGAGGGGGAUGGAAUUCCGCGUGUAGCAGUGAAAUGCGUAGAUAUGCGGAGGAACACCGAUGGCGAAGGCAAUCCCCUGGACCUGUACUGACGCUCAUGCACGAAAGCGUGGGGAGCAAACAGG
rnacentral:rRNA from 1 species